rnacentral:rRNA from 1 species
UACGGAGGGUGCGAGCGUUGUCCGGAAUUACUGGGCGUAAAGCGUGCGUAGGCGGUUUGUUAAGUCCGCUGUGAAAGCCCUGGGCUCAACCUGGGAAUUGCAGUGGAUACUGGCAAGCUAGAGUGCGGUAGAGGAUGGUGGAAUUCCCGGUGUAGCGGUGAAAUGCGCAGAUAUCAGGAGGAACACCGGUGGCGAAGGCGGGUCUCUGGGCCGAUACUGACGCUGAGGAGCGAAAGCGUGGGGAGCGAACAGG